GAAGAAGCGAUGACGGGGAACAGUAAUCGGAGAAAAGGCACAGAAAGUUGGCGGUUGAUGCGAGCCAACCCGAGGAUCCGGUGAAUUUCCACCCCUGAGCUGGCGGCGAUGAGCCGGCCCGGUCAUGUCCGUUAUGCAUGUCGAGCGGGCCUUUCCUGACGGAAAGGUCAAGCAGGGUGGCAACACGGGUCACAGCCUCUCGUCCCUGAC
rnacentral:ncRNA from 1 species